GCUAGAUAGCUCAGCUGGUUAGAGCAUGGUGCUGGUAAUGCCAAGGUUGCAGGUUUGAGCUCCACAUGGGACAGCUGCA